rnacentral:rRNA from 1 species
GAUGAACGCUGGCGGCGUGCCUAAUACAUGCAAGUCGAGCGAACUGAUUAGAAGCUUGCUUCUAUGACGUUAGCGGCGGACGGGUGAGUAACACGUGGGCAACCUGCCUGUAAGACUGGGAUAACUUCGGGAAACCGAAGCUAAUACCGGAUAGGAUCUUCUCCUUCAUGGGAGAUGAUUGAAAGAUGGUUUCGGCUAUCACUUACCGAUGGGCCCGCGGUGCAUUAGCUAGUUGGUGAGGUAACGGCUCACUAAGGCAACGAUGCAUAGCCGACCUGGAGGGGUGAUCGGCCACACUGGGUCUGAGACACGGCCCAGACUCCUACGGGAGGCAGCAGUAGGGAAUCUUCCGCAGUGGACGAAAGUCUGACGGAGCAACGCCGCGUGAGUGAUGAAGGCUUUCGGGUCGUAAAACUCUGUUGUUAGGGAAGAACAAGUACUAUAGUAACUGAUGGUACCUUGACGGUACCUAACCAGAAAGCCACGGCUAACUACGUGCCAGCAGCCGCGGUAACAC